rnacentral:misc_RNA from 1 species
UUUCCGUAGGUGAACCUGCGGAAGGAUCAUUCAUAAUAAGUGUUUUAUGGCACUUUUUUAAAUCCAUAUCCACCUUGUGUGCAAUGUCAGGGUUGAUUUUUCUCUCGAGAGGAUCAACCCCAAACAUCAACUAUAUCUCAACUCUUUGUCUGAAAAAUAUUAUGAAUAAAACAAUUCAAAAUACAACUUUCAACAACGGAUCUCUUGGCUUUC